GACGUAGGGCGCGAGCGUUGUCCGGAUUUAUUGGGCGUAAAGAGCUCGUAGGCGGCUCGUCGCGUCGACCGUGAAAACCCGCAGCUUAACUGCGGGCCUGCGGUUGAUACGGGCGGGCUAGAGUUCGGUAGGGGAGACUGGAAUUCCUGGUGUAGCGGUGAAAUGCGCAGAUAUCAGGAGGAACACCGGUGGCGAAGGCGGGUCUCUGGGCCGAUACUGACGCUGAGGAGCGAAAGCGUGGGGAGCGAACAGG
rnacentral:rRNA from 1 species